GCAGUCCAAGAAUAUUAGUCAAUGCUCGCAAGAGUGAACGAGCUAACUGAAAGAAUAAACAAUCUAAAGUUAGGAAAUUUAUAACAAAAGUUAUAAGUUUAAAGACGCAUCUAACUAACAGUGUCGUCCAAAUUCUGGUGCCAGAAGACUCGGUAAUACCAGAGACGCGAACGUUAAUCAUCUUGAAUGGGCAUAAAGGGUUUGUAGGCGGCUUAUUUAUUAAUAAGCUAGAAUCUUAUAGAGGUUAAUAAAAUACUUAGAGGAGGGCUGAUAUCCUUAGAUCCUAAGUGGAAUCCUAAUUGCGAAGGCCAUUUACCACUACAGAUUGACGCUGAGACACGAAGGUUAGGAUAGGAACUAGGAUUAGAGACCCUAUUACCCCUAACUGUAAACGAUGAAUGGAAGAUAUUUACCACUGUAAGUGUCGAAGUGAAUACGAUAACCAUUCCGCCUUGUCAGUAUACUUGCAAAAGUGAAAACAAAAAAAUUAGUCGGUCCUAAAGCAAACGAAGUGAAGCAUGUUAUUUAAUUC
rnacentral:rRNA from 2 species